CGGUGCCAGCAGCCGCGGUAAUUCCAGCUCCAAUAGCGUAUAUUAAAGUUGUUGCAGUUAAAAGCUCGUAGUUGAAUUUCGGGGUCAGUAGAUUGGUCAUGCCAUUGGUAUGUACUGGUCUUACUGGCUCCUUCUUCCUGAUGAACCGUAAUGCCAUUAAUUUGGUGUUGCGGGGAGACUGGACUGUUACUUUGAAAAAAUUAGAGUGUUUAAAGCAAGCUAACGCUUGAAUACAUUAGCAUGGAAUAAUGAAAUAGGACGUUCGAUCCUAUUUUAGUUGGUUUCUAGGAUUGACGUAAUGAUUAAUAGGGAUAUUGGGGGCAUUAGUAUUCAAUUGUCAGAGGUGAAAUUCUUGGAUUUAUUGAAGACUAACUACUGCGAAAGCAUUUGCCAAGGAUGUUUUCAUUAAUCAAGAACGAAAGUUAGGGGGAUCGAAGACGAUCAGAUACCGUCGUAGUCUUAACCAUAAACUAUGCCGACUAGGGAUCGGAUGAUGUUAAUUUUUUUAAUGACUCAUUCGGCGCCUUACG
rnacentral:rRNA from 1 species